ensembl:lncRNA
GCCGCCUCUACACUCUAACCACUAGGCUACCCUGCCUCCUCUACACUCUAACCACUAGGCUACCUGCCUCCUCUACACUCUACCCACUAGGCUACCCUGCCGCCUCUACACUCUAACCACUAGGCUACCCUGCCUCCUCUACACUCUAACCACUAGGCUACCCUGCCUCCUCUACACUCUAACCACUAGGCUACCUGCCACCUCUACACUCUAACCACUAGGCUACCUGCCACCUCUACACUCUAACCACUAGGCUACCUGCCACCUCUACACUCUAACCACUAGGCUACCCUACCUCCUCUACACUCUAACCACUAGGCUACCCUACCUCCUCUACACUCUAACCACUAGGCUACCUGCCACCUCUACACUCUAACCACUAGGCUACCCUGCCGCCUCUACACUCUAACCACUAGGCUACCCUGCCUCCUCUACACUCUAACCACUAGGUUACCCUGCCUCCUCUACACUCUAACCACUAGGCUACCUGCCUCCUCUACACUCUAACCACUAGGCUACCCUGCCGCCCC